rnacentral:lncRNA from 1 species
GGAGAAAUCAGAUGCUGACAUUAUAUUUGAGCCCCUGAAUCCAGCUGUGCCCAAACCGGAUUUUCAGUAACAUGAACUAAUAAAGUCCCCUUGUCACUGAAGCCUGUUUGAGUUGGGUCCUGUCUUUUAAAACAGAAGGUGUUCAAAUGAGCCCACCAUGGAUGUGACUUCAUUUACUCAACACCCCUUGAGCUCCAAGUCAAGGAUUACACUAUUUUUUAGAUCAAGUCACAGAGAGCCAGAGACCUCGCACCAUUGACUGAGUCAAGACCAGGGUUGAGCUCUCACGAUUCUGAAUCUGAUGUGCUCUUCCAUGAUACCCUACUGUCUUUGUGAGCAAGCUUGGCAGAUGGCUGGCUGAGCCCUAUCCUGAGAGCCUCCGAAAGCCAGGGUGGAGGGUGCCACGAUGUCCACAUGGGUAAAAAGUGCCUUCAAGACAGCAGCAGGACCAAGGUGGAACAGAUGUGUGCCCUCUCCCAUCCAAGGUGAUGUGGCAAGUAACUGGUGGUUUCUCUGUCCCCUUAUGCUGAUCUAGAAGAUUUAGCCUGGCUAGCAGGCAGCCUAGAAGCUCUAAAAAUACAAAUAUCAAUACAAAUGGCAUAACCCAUGCAUAGCUUAUGAGCAUCAUCAUACCAUCCUUUGCCUGCCACUGAGUCCUGCCAACUACAAUUUCCUUUCUUUGAUCCCAAUGUUCUCCCCCUUUCUGAGGAUCCCACUGACCUAUAGAUUCAAUCAGCAAAGACUUAUCAUAUGCUUACUCCAGAAGAAGCACUGUGUUAGCUGAUCAGGGACACAAAAAGGAAGCUGUCAACAUUUGCCUAUUUGACAGAUCUGAGCAAGGCAUUUUUCAGGUGCUUGUGGAUGCUGCAAUGAAUUAAGUGUCUUGUCCUUAUGGUGGCUACAGUCUGGUGGAGGUUACAAGAUAUUGGCUGUGGAUAAUAAUUGCUCUUUGGACACUCAGCUUCCCCUAAUAAUAGCUCCUGAUUCCUUUCAGAGAAUGACCUCUUGGCAUUCUUGGCUGGACCGUAAAUCCAGCGGCCCUGAGUGUCUCUAGCAGAAUUAAUAGCAAGGCUGUAGAAGACUUUCCCUCUGCCAGUCACUAUCACAGCUUUACCCAGUUUGUUCUCAUCAGUCCCCGUGGACAGGGUCCCCAUGUGCAGAAGGGGAGGCUGGAGCAUUGCAAAAGGGACAAGCUUAAGGUCACCCGGCUAGUAAGUGGCAGAAGCCUGAAUUCAAACCCAUGCUCUCUGGCUCCAGAGACUCGCUCUUCCCACCAGUCUAAACUGCCUUGCAAAGGCAGUGAGCUUGUGUUGUGUGAAUAUGGGUUCCAUUCCAACCAGGGCCAGUUAUUCUCUCUCUCCUGAAAAUCAGAGUCAUGAGGACGGUAACAGAAAAAUAGGCGACACUGUUGCUGUGGAUUUGUUUCAUUGCCGAUGUUCCGGUAAAAGAUGGCACAUCUCCCUCUUUGCUGAGGUCCUGGAGCUUUCCUCCUCGUCCCUCCUUGCAGUCUGAUUCUUCACUGUUCAUGAUAAACCCCAUAAUCCCUCCAGCAAACUCCCUUUGGGCAUUAGUUGGUCAGAGUCAGUUUCAGUUGCAUGCCAUGAGGAGCCCUAACAGACAAAGAAAUUUCCGCAAUUACCCCCAAGACCUGGUGUGGACGAAGGGCUUGGGGCUUCAUAGCUGUGCUAAUGUUUGUGAACGCCAAAGGAGGUUUGGGGCUGCAGAAGGUAUUCACGCAAAGGCGGAGCGAGCUCAAGGGAUGGAGGGACACAGGAGGCAAAUCAAAAAUGUCAAGAGUCCUAGGGUGCCUAUUUUCAUCUCAAUCACUGAGGAAAAAAUUGGUUUGGGCUCCUCUCCAGCAUUUCCUCCUUCUUCCCUUGCAUGUGAAGAUUGAAUGUUUGCAGGAAGCAGACCACCAGCGGUGUCUCGCACGGGCUUCAGACAGACAUCAAAGUUAAUCCGCUCUCUGAUCUAAGCAAAAUGUGAUGAGGGUUUCCUGGGACAGCAGCUCUACUAAUUGUGGCACUGCAGCCCAGCUGAUGUAUUUUUAGACUAUUGUGGAGUCCCAAGAACUAUCAUUACCUUCUGCUGGAAAAUAGACUCCAAGCUUGGGGCGAGUGAAAUCUAAGACAGGACCCUCUGGACCUGCACCUUGGAGAUGAUGAGAGUAAGCUGGGGAAAUGCUUUCCUAUUUGGGGGGGCCUCUGUGACUCUUUGAGUCUCUACCCUUCUCUCUAUAUAUUUCUAAUUCAGAUCACUUGCCAAGUUUUUCUUCUUUCAUCUGUUCUUUACAUCUAAGUGAUUUCUCCAAAUGUCCAUCUUGGCUCAUCUCUUGCCACGCUAUCCAUCCUACAAUUUAAACUAAUAGAUAUAUUCAUGACUUCCAGGAGUUUAGACCCAGGCUUUCUGCUAAACUCCAGCCUCAUGUGCUUGAUGGUCAUCUCCAAGUUCAAGUGCACUUGCUCCUCCUCUCUCCCCUUCCCCUUCAUGGCCACUAGCUUGGUUUGAGGCUUGCCUGCUUACCUUGACUGUGGCUGCCCAACCUGUCUGGUAUGGACAGCCUCUUUGGUCACUGGCUAUCUCACUCAUGGGACAACCAAAGUGAUCUCUCUGAAGCCUUAGGUCUGAUCAACACCGCCCUUUUCCAGAGCCUUCCGUGUCUGCCUAAACUAGGAAUUAUUCAUCUUGGACUCCAGGUUCUGGUCAGCAGCCCAUCAAAGGCCACUGCUGCAGCCAUGUGCUUCUGCUGAGUUAAAGAGCAGCCUUGAUAGCCAUGCUCUGCCCAUGGCCGUGGCUGAUUGAAUCAGCAUGGACAUAAGACCCAGAAAGGAGUCAAAGCUCCAAGUCUCUGCCUAAGUGGGGAAUGGGCCAACCCAGUCAGACUCUGCCUCUGGGAUUUCAGCUGGAAAGGCAGGCAGAGUUGGGAGCUCGGCAGAGGGAGCGGAAGUUGGGCAGAUGCACAGGGGGAGGUGGUAGCAGCUUGAGGGGAGCUGUGAGUAAGCCACGGUGACGAGUCAGCAGAAGCUGUGAGAGAAAAGCUGGGCUGAAUAGAUGGGAAGGGAAUUGCCUGGGAAGAGCAGGAAGCAGGGAAUGAUGCAGAAGAGUGAAAAAUCAAGAUCCCCAAAUCCCUGCUGCUGAGAAGUAAUGAGAUGCCUUAAGCCCGGGACUGCUUGGGAUUCAUGUACUUACUCAUUGAUUUCACCAGCUGUAUGGAGUACUGGUUAUAUGCCAGACACUAUUCUGCGCAUUAGACUAAGUCCUCACCCUCAUGGUGCUUGUGUUCUAACUGGGGAGGUAAAUAAUAAAUAAACAAAAAAUAAAUGGGGACAGUUUAGCAAUUUCUUUUUUUAAACUUUUUUUUAAUUAAAGUAUUGUUGAUUUACAAUGGUCUGUCAAUUUCCACUGUACAGCAAAGUGACUCAGUCGUAUAUACCUACUUUUUCUCAUAUUAUCUUCCAUCACGUUCUAUCACAAGUGAUUGGAUGUAGUCCCCCGUGCUAUACAGCAAGACAGCAUUGCUUAUCCAUUCUAAAUGUGAUAGUUUGCAUCUACCAACCCCAAACUCCCUGUGCAUCCCACUCCCGCUUCCUCUCCUUGGCAACUGCAAGUCUGUCCUCUAUGUCUGUGAGUCUGUUUCUGUUUUGUAGAUAGGUUCGUUUGUGCCAUAUUUUAGAUUCCACAUAUAAGUGAUAUCAUAUGGUAUUUGCCUUUCUCUUUCUGACUUACUUCACUUAGUAUGAGAAUCUCUAGUUGUACCAUGUUGCUGUAAAUGGCAUUAUUUUGUUCUUUUUAUGGCUGAGUAGUAUUCCACUGUGUAUAUGUACCACAUCUUCUUAAUCCAUUCAUCUGUUGAUGGACAUUUAAGUCAUUUCCAUGUCUUGGCUAUGGUGGCAAUUUCUUACAAAAGUAAACCUACUCUUCCCACACAAUCCAAAGGAGUUGAAAACUUGUAUCCAUUCAACACCUGCACAUGAGGAGUUCUCAUUGUGGCUCAGCAGGUUAAGGACCCAGUGUUGUCUCUGUGACGAUGUGGGUUCAAUCCCUGGCCUCACUCAGUAGUUAAGGAUCCGGCGUUGUCAGAAACUGUGGUGUAGUUCGCAGGUGCAGCCCAGACCUGGUGUUGCUGUGGCCGUGGCAUAAGUCUCAGCUGCAGAUCUGAUUCAACCCCUAGCCUGGAAACUUCCAUAUGCCACAAGCACAGCUGUAAAAAGAAAAAACAAAACAAAACAAAAACCUGCACAUGAAUGUUUGUAGCAGCUUUGUUCAUUAUUGCUAAAACUUGGAAGCAACCACUAUGUCCUUCAGCAGGUGAAUGGGUAAAAAAACUGUGGUACAACGGGGCAAUGGAAUAUUAUUUGGUGCUAAAAUGAAUGAGCUCUCAAGCCAUGAAAAGACAUGGAGGAAACUUAAGUGCAUUUUACUAAGUGAAUGAAGCCAGUCUGAAGUCUACAUAUUAUAUGAUUCCAACAACAUGACUUUAUGGAAAAGGUAAAACUCUGGAGAAGGUAAAAGAAUCGGGGUUUCCCAGGGGUUAGGGCACCGGGAGGGAUGAGUAGGUAGAACCCAGAGGGUUUUAAGGGCAGUGAAAAUACUUUGUAUGAUAUCGUAAUAAUGGAUUCCUGUCAUUAUACAUGUGUCCCAGCCCACAGAAUACACAACACCAAGACUGAACCAUAAGGUAAACCAUGGACUUUGGAUGAUAAUGAUGUGUCAAUACAGGUUUACGGUGUGUAGCACACACACCACGCCAGGGGAGGAGGACGUUGAUAGUGGGGAGGCUGUAGGUACAUGGGGCAGAGGGAGCUUUGGAAACUCAAGUCUCUGCUCAAUUUUGCUGGGAACUAAAACAGCUUUAGAAAAUAAUGUCUACUAAAAAAUCCCCCUUCCCCACCAAAAAAGUAGAAAAAAUUUAGUAAGUUCUGGCAUCAUGUUUUAAUUGCUCCAGAAGCCAUAGGAGGAAGAAAUGGAUUCUGGGCGAGGGGUGAGGGGUCGAGGUGGGGGUGGGUGGGAAAUCCAUGUCAUAACAAAAACCGGGAGGAGGGAUUACUCCAGAUGAAAAGAAACCCAAGUGUGAUCGUGGGAAAUCGUCUUACUUCAAUUCGUUAAACAUU